UUCUCAAAACUGAUAAUCAUACUUAUACCUCGUUCAAAAAGUCGAGAAUCCCCAGAAAGCCGACCUAAAACCUCGGGAAAGUGGGAGUGAACAUUUGGUGACGCAAUGUCAGAUCGAUAAUUAUCGAGGUUGAUCUCUGGCGGAAGUAUAGAAGAACGAGUUCCCGAGCUUGUGUUUUGUGUGACGACACACGCAUCAUCAACAUGGCGCCCAUGCAUGCAACUGACAUGUAAACAGUAUCAUAAAUGCUAAAAUAUCAUCUUGUAAUCACUAUCAACAACACCAGUCAAUGUCAUUCAAUUGCAGAUGCACAUAGGUCAGUAAUGCUGGUCUCUGGCUGUUUAAUUUAGCUUACUUCAGCUAAAAUUAUAUGUCGUGGGUGUGGAGGCUCAAGGUGAGGUGAAAAAAAGAAAAGAGAACCAAAACAAAACACGCAUGAAUCCCGAUUGUUCCGGGAUCAGUGGCGUUCAUGCGCCAAACUCCAGAACUCGAUUGUCAUGUGAGCAGUGUCGUCAGCUGUCUCGAGAGGUCCCGAGCUGGUGAAGGCAACAUUAGACUACCCAGUGACGUGAUUGUGCCCAAUGAAACAGGAGGCCUCGAUUCGUGCAGAAGAUAAGGUUUGAAACCCAGACAGCACGAAGCAUCUUGCCGACGUCAAAAUCAGAUCAACAGACAGGGACAUCAGCCUUCUCUUGGGAAUAGGCCAGAUAUGCCAGAACAAGAAAUGUCUAUAUCUUGGACUGAAAAAGGAUGCUUUGCCCCUGCGGUUGUGAAGAGGAUGCUGUGGAGGUGGCAGCAUGAACGUGUCACACAGACAUUGGCUAAACUACUCGGUAGGUACAACGAAAUAAAAGAAACCACCCCCUCAACCCUGUUUAUGCUGCACUGUACCU